rnacentral:pre_miRNA from 1 species
UUAACUUAAAUUUGUAUGGAAUUGGAAUUUUUGUCAACGUUUGCCUCCAGGGGCGCUGUUCCAACUGCAUACGAAUAUGAGCGA